rnacentral:rRNA from 1 species
GAGUGAUCGAAAGAUGAAAAGCACUUUGAAAAGAGAGUUAAACAGCACGUGAAAUUGUUGAAAGGGAAGCGUUUGCGACCAGACUCGCCCGCGGGGUUCAGCCGGCAUUCGUGCCGGUGUACUUCCCCGUGGGCGGGCCAGCGUCGGUUUGGGCGGCCGGUCAAAGGCCCUCGGAAUGUAUCACCCCUCGGGGUGUCUUAUAGCCGAGGGUGCAAUGCGGCCUGCCCGGACCGAGGAACGCGCUUCGGCUCGAACGCUGGCGUAAUGGUCGUAAAUGAC